GCAUAAUCAUUUGCCUUCUAAUUAAAGGAUAGUAUGAAAGGAAAAACGAAAUUUAAGCUAUAUUAUUAUUAUAUUUAUAAAUUAUACUUCAGGUGAAGAUACCUGUAUUCAUUUGAAAGACAAGAAGACCCUAUAGAAUUUAAGAGACUACACCCCCUUUUUCAACCACCUCUUUCGUUGGGGCGACAAAAGAUUAAAAAAAACAUCUUUACUAAAACCAAACUAUAAUUUUCAAAAAUGAUCCUACCCAUAGACAAACAAAACAAAUUACCUUAGGGAUAACAGGCUAAUCUUCUUAAAGAGUUCAAAUCGACAAGAAGGUUUGGCACCUCGAUGUUGGCUUAGAGACCCCGGCUGCUGCAACAAGUAGCGCGGGUAGUUUGUUCAACUAAUAAUCCUCU
rnacentral:rRNA from 1 species